AUACACCUUACGGGUGGCAGCAGUAGGGAAUAUUGGGCAAUGGGCGAAAGCCUGACCCAGCAACGCCGCGUGUGUGAUGAAGGCCUUCGGGUCGUAAAGCACUUUUCUGGGAGAUGAGAAAGGACAGUAUCCCAGGAAUAAGUCUCGGCUAACUACGUGCCAGCAGCCGCGGUAAAACGUAGGAGGCGAGCGUUAUCCGGAUUCACUGGGCGUAAAGCGCGUGCAGGUGGCGCGGUAAGUUGGGCGUGAAAUCUCCCGGCUCAACUGGGAGAGGUCGUCCAAUACUACCGUGCUUGAGAGCAGAAGAGGAAGAUGGAAUUCCCGGUGUAGUGGUGAAAUGCGUAGAUAUCGGGAGGAACACCAGUGGCGAAGGCGAUCUUCUGGUCUGUUUCUGACACUCAGACGCGACAGCUAGGGUAGUAAACGGGAUUAGAGACCCCGGUAAUCCUAGCCGUAAACGAUGUGAACUUGGCGUUGGUGGGUUAAACUCCAUCAGUGCCGA
rnacentral:rRNA from 1 species